CACAUGGGUAGCAAAGCAGAAGAAUCGCUGCCUUGUAGAGCAGCACUGAGGAGUAAAUUCGAUGGCGAGGGCUUGCCAUGGUGAGUGCUCAGGAAAAGCGACUUCUGUUAUCCUUGUUUUUGGGGUACAGAAGUUUAAGAUCAGAAGAGUGAAUGGCCUGAACCCACACACUUAAGUAGGAGCUCUAGCACCAAAAUACAGCUCAUCCUUAUCACAUCCGACUUCGAAGACCGCCAGGCUCUCUCCCUAGGUCUCUGUCCCUUAAUUUUGUCCAACCCUGGGUCCUUGGAAAGUAACCAGUGGAAAAACGGUCAGCAAACUGGAGCCCAUUGGCGAAUUCCCGCCGUUAUCUACUUUUGUAAAGAAUACGGGGGGAUAAAGUUGUCUGGGAAGCAGCCCAUUCAUUUACUGCUUUUGUGCUACAACAGCAGAGUUGAAUCAUCACGACAGAGCCGACUAUAUUCAGUAUCUGGCCCUUGAUAAGAAUGCUUUGCUGACCCUUGCAAUAGAGAAACAAUAACCAAGAUGAUGAUUCAUCACAGUUGAUGACCCAGAAUGCUGAUUUUCCCAGAAAAUGAAAGAGAGAAUACACCUGAAUAAUUGAAACGUCUAACUUCACAAGAAAGCAGACUGAGGCCAAAGGAGGUGUUGGACUGGCUCAGGUCAUAAGGCCGCUUAGGAGCCAGGGCAGAAAUGUAAUCCAGAUUUUCUGUCUUCCAUUCAGUGCUGCUCGCAAACCACUGCAAUUCAACUUAAAUAAAGCAGCUAUUCAAGGGAGAGGUUUGAAUGGGAGAUGGGGAGAGUGAGAGAAAAGAACUGGGUGAUCUCUUAGGUGCCUUCCCUCUCAAACUCGAUGUGAUCAUGUACUUUUACCGAAGAUACUCAUCUAGAUCAACAAAAGCAGCACGUACAGUGCCCGAGGGAAGGAUCGGUCAAGUUCAUAGGCUACGCAUAUUUUGUGCAUGUUCUAUGAGCCGGAUUGUUUGCUGAGGAUGGAACAUCAUAUAAAUAAGGCGGACAGCUGGCCCUCCUCCCAAGGAGUAAACAGUCAGGCUGGGAAAGAUAACACUGAAACACACAAAAAUAGGGAACAACUACCUUCGGGACACAGAACAUACAUGGAAAAAAAAUUCUCAACCACUUAGAUUUACUUCUGCUAGCAAGAAGUGCUCCAUAAAAAAUUUGAUCUGGU
rnacentral:lncRNA from 1 species